rnacentral:rRNA from 1 species
UACAGAGGGUGCAAGCGUUAAUCGGAUUUACUGGGCGUAAAGGGCGCGUAGGUUGUUGCGUAAGUGAGAUGUGAAAUCCCCGGGCUCAACCUGGGAACUGCAUCUUAUACUGCGUAACUGGAGUGCAAUAGAGGGUAGUGGAAUUUCCGGUGUAGCGGUGAAAUGCGUAGAUAUCGGAAGGAACACCAGUGGCGAAGGCGGCUACCUGGAUUGACACUGACACUGAGGCGCGAAAGCGUGGGGAGCAAACAGG